GAUUUGGGUUAGAGGGUUAGCGAGCGUUGGGUAUGAGGGUCAGAGUGUUAGGUUUGAAGGUUAGAGAGUUUUGAGUAACGGAGUUAAAGAGUGUUGGGUUAGAGGAUUAGUGAGUGUUGGGUAAGAGGGAUACCCGUAAGAUACCUGGCGUUUGCUUGUGUUAACAAGAUUCCUACCAUUUGUUUAAUUCUAAAUUCAUUAUUGUGUGUGCAGAAGUGUUCGCUGUGCUAGCGUUGGCCUCUGUUUGCGGCCUCCUUUGACUUUAGAGUAACAGUAGCCUAGCACCAGUUCGCCUGAGGGGAAAACACUUUGAAUCACUUUGAAUUACAUUAUUACCAAUGUUUUCAGAGCAGUUGCUUAUUCAAAACAAUCAUAACACGAUUGUAGUAUGUCUACAAACACACAAUAUAUUAGCAUAGUUGUAUAUAAGCAUAGUUGUUAAGCAUACUGUAUUGUUAAGCUUAAUUUCCACAUUCAGAUUUGUUUUGCAGUCUCCAUGGAAUUUCAAAUCACCAAAGCAGACCGCAUUGAGAAUUAAAUAAGUUUGUCUUUGCUCUCAGCCAGUCAAAAUACAAUCAACUUCUUAUGAAGUAUGCUGCCUGCUUUAGGGUUUGAUGGUUUGGGUGUAGGGUUGGAGAGUUAGAGGGAAGGAGACUAAGGGGUAUAGGUUAUGGAGGUUAGGGUGUGGACGCUCUUUGAGACUGACGUAUGGCUUUCACCAGAAGCCUAAACUUUAUGUUCAAAUGUCACAAACUCGAAUGAAGCUCUUUUACUGAUGCAACCGAUACAAGUUAGAUUAUAUCCAUUCCAUAGUGUUUGUUACGCUGUAAUAUAUCCUGAAAUAUAGAGUUUAUGAUCAAGUUGAUACAUAUUUUGACAUAUAUUUUAAACUGUAUGGUUUCUUAUAUCUAGCAUACUCUUUAAAGGUACAUAGUUAUACAUAUAUGAUGGAUAUAAACCAGAAUGUUCUGAAAGUUUUCAUGUUUUCAACUUUGAAUUAAACAGGAAGUCAGUUGUGGCUCAAGAGAGAGAUAGGGCGCAAUGGAGAGAGUGUUUGUAGAGAGAGAGAGAGAGAGAGAGAGAGAGAUAGUAUGUGUUUGUGGUUGUGAGCACCAAAGGCGACAAGAAAACGUUUCAGAAUUGCUGAAACGUUUCAGAGUUGCUGAUUGCAGUCAGUCAGCCAGCCAGUCAGUCAACCAGUCAGGCAGUGACAGGCAGUUCAGUUUCACUUCCAUGGUGAGCAGGCGUGGUCAAGAGACAAGAUGAAACACUAUUAGAGAAAGAGAGUGAGAAGAGAGAGAGACAGAUAGACAACAACGACGACAAAACACAAUACAAAACCAGCCCAAGUAUUGAUUUUAAUUUCCUUUAUAUGAAAGAACGAAAAUCAGAGCAUUUGAUCUGAAAAAAGUAUCAGCAAACUGGAAACAUCUCAUAAGUAAGAAGUCUGAUAUGUUUCACUAGCGAGGGCUGCUUCAAGAAGUCCCAACUCUAC
ensembl:lncRNA